AGCUACAGGCUUAACACAUGCAAGUCGAGGGGCAGCAUUUUAGUUUGCUUGCAAACUGAAGAUGGCGACCGGCGCACGGGUGAGUAACACGUAUCCAACCUGCCGAUAACUCCGGGAUAGCCUUUCGAAAGAAAGAUUAAUACCGGAUAGCAUACGAAUAUCGCAUGAUAUUUUUAUUAAAGAAUUUCGGUUAUCGAUGGGGAUGCGUUCCAUUAGUUUGUUGGCGGGGUAACGGCCCACCAAGACUACGAUGGAUAGGGGUUCUGAGAGGAAGGUCCCCCACAUUGGAACUGAGACACGGUCCAAACUCCUACGGGAGGCAGCAGUGAGGAAUAUUGGUCAAUGGGCGAGAGCCUGAACCAGCCAAGUAGCGUGAAGGAUGAAGGCUCUAUGGGUCGUAAACUUCUUUUAUAUGGGAAUAAAGUUUUCCACGUGUGGAAUUUUGUAUGUACCAUAUGAAUAAGGAUCGGCUAACUCCGUGCCAGCAGCCGCGGUAAUACGGAGGAUCCGAGCGUUAUCCGGAUUUAUUGGGUUUAAAGGGAGCGUAGGUGGAUUGUUAAGUCAGUUGUGAAAGUUUGCGGCUCAACCGUAAAAUUGCAGUUGAAACUGGCAGUCUUGAGUACAGUAGAGGUGGGCGGAAUUCGUGGUGUAGCGGUGAAAUGCUUAGAUAUCACGAAGAACUCCGAUUGCGAAGGCAGCUCACUAGACUGUCACUGACACUGAUGCUCGAAAGUGUGGGUAUCAAACAGGAUUAGAUACCCUGGUAGUCCACACAGUAAACGAUGAAUACUCGCUGUUUGCGAUAUACAGUAAGCGGCCAAGCGAAAGCAUUAAGUAUUCCACCUGGGGAGUACGCCGGCAACGGUGAAACUCAAAGGAAUUGACGGGGGCCCGCACAAGCGGAGGAACAUGUGGUUUAAUUCGAUGAUACGCGAGGAACCUUACCCGGGCUUAAAUUGCAACAGAAUAUAUUGGAAACAGUAUAGCCGUAAGGCUGUUGUGAAGGUGCUGCAUGGUUGUCGUCAGCUCGUGCCGUGAGGUGUCGGCUUAAGUGCCAUAGCGAGCGCAACCCUUAUCUUUAGUUACUAACAGGUUAUGCUGAGGACUCUAGAGAGACUGCCGUCGUAAGAUGUGAGGAAGGUGGGGAUGACGUCAAAUCAGCACGGCCCUUACGUCCGGGGCUACACACGUGUUACAAUGGGGGGUACAGAAGGCGGCUACCUGGUGACAGGAUGCUAAUCCCAAAAACCUCUCUCAGUUCGGAUCGAAGUCUGCAACCCGACUUCGUGAAGCUGGAUUCGCUAGUAAUCGCGCAUCAGCCAUGGCGCGGUGAAUACGUUCCCGGGCCUUGUACACACCGCCCGUCAAGCCAUGAAAGCCGGGGGUACCUGAAGUACGUAACCGCAAGGAGCGUCCUAGGGUAAAACUGGUAAUUGGGGCUAAGUCAUAACA
rnacentral:rRNA from 1 species